rnacentral:rRNA from 1 species
AUUGAACGCUGGCGGCAGGCCUAACACAUGCAAGUCGAGCGGAUGAAGGGAGCUUGCUCCUGGAUUCAGCGGCGGACGGGUGAGUAAUGCCUAGGAAUCUGCCUGGUAGUGGGGGAUAACGUCCGGAAACGGGCGCUAAUACCGCAUACGUCCUGAGGGAGAAAGUGGGGGAUCUUCGGACCUCACGCUCUCAGAUGAGCCUAGGUCGGAUUAGCUAGUUGGUGGGGUAAAGGCCUACCAAGGCGACGAUCCGUAACUGGUCUGCGAGGAUGAGCAGUCACACUGGAACUGAGACACGGUCCAGAGUCCUACGGGAGGCGGCAGUGGGGAAUAUUGGACAAUGGGCGAAAGCCUGAUCCAGCCAUGCCGCGUGUGUGAAGAAGGUCUUCGGAUUGUAAAGCACUUUAAGUUGGGAGGAAGGGCAGUAAGUUAAUACCUUGCUGUUUUGACGUUAACAACAGAAUAAGCACCGGCUAACUUAGUG